rnacentral:lncRNA from 1 species
CCCCCCCCCCCCCUAUCACUUUCUAAUGGUGCACCCAUAGUUAAGCAGUGUCUGGUUAAAAAAGGCUGCGGUGUUCUGCUCAUGAACUGUUUGUGAACCGUAGGUUUGACAACUGAAUUUGCACACAACUUUAAAUGAGGCUUUCAUCCUCUUCUAACUACAACGAUUCGUCUCAGUCUAUACAUGCCUGGGACGGAGUCAUACAUAUACACGUUUUGCUCCGUGUUUAUACAACCU